rnacentral:rRNA from 1 species
AUUGAACGCUGGCGGCAGGCCUAACACAUGCAAGUCGAACGAGUGGCGGACGGGUGAGUAAUGUCUGGGAAACUGCCUGAUAGAGGGGGAUAACUACUGGAAACGGUAGCUAAUACCGCAUACCAUCGGAUGUGCCCAGAUGGGAUUAGCUAGUAGGUGGGGUAAAGGCUCACCAAGGCGACGAUCCCUAGCUGGUCUGAGAGGAUGACCAGCCACACUGGAACUGAGACACGGUCCAGACUCCUACGGGAGGCAGCAGUGGGGAAUAUUGCACAAUGGGGGCAAGCCUGAUGCAGCCAUGCCGCGUGUAUGAAGAAGGCCUUCGGGUUGGAAAGUACUUUCGGCGGAGAGGCGUUACCCGCAGAAGAAGCACCGGCUAACUCCGUGCCAGCAGCCGCGGUAAUUC